rnacentral:rRNA from 1 species
CACGUAGGGGGCGAGCGUUGUCCGGAUUUAUUGGGCGUAAAGAGCUCGUAGGCGGCCCAGUAAGUCAGGUGUGAAAACUCCAGGCUCAACCUGGAGACGCCACUUGAUACUGCUGUGGCUAGAGUCCGGUAGGGGAGCAUGGAAUUCCUGGUGUAGCGGUGAAAUGCGCAGAUAUCAGGAGGAACACCAGUGGCGAAGGCGGUGCUCUGGGCCGGAACUGACGCUGAGGAGCGAAAGCGUGGGGAGCAAACAGG